rnacentral:tRNA from 1 species
GGGGGCGUCGUACAGUGGUUAGUACAGCGGUCUCCAAAACCGCUAACGUAGGUUCGAUUCCUGCCGCCCCUGCCA